rnacentral:tRNA from 1 species
GGAGAGGUGCGAGAGUGGACGAAUCGGCGUGCCUGGAGAGCACGAGUCCUGGCAACGGGACCGUGGGUUCGAAUCCCACCCUCUCCGCCA